GCCUUUAGAAGUAACGUUUCACUUGAGGGC
rnacentral:piRNA from 1 species